GAAGCCGGCCCGGGUCCUGCCGUAAAACCCCCUAUAUUUUUCUGGUUGACCUCGGAUCAGGUAGGAAUACCCGCUGAACUUAAGCAUAUCAAUAAGCGGAGGAAAAGAAACCAACAGGGAUUGCCCUAGUAACGGCGAGUGAAGCGGCAACAGCUCAAAUUUGAAAUCUGGCCUUCGGGUCCGAGUUGUAAUUUGCAGAGGAUGCUUUUGGCGCGGUGCCUUCCGAGUUCCCUGGAACGGGACGCCUUAGAGGGUGAGAGCCCCGUACGGUUGGACACCAAGCCUCUGUAAAGCUCCUUCGACGAGUCGAGUAGUUUGGGAAUGCUGCUCUAAAUGGGAGGUAAAUUUCUUCUAAAGCUAAAUACCGGCCAGAGACCGAUAGCGCACAAGUAGAGUGAUCGAAAGAUGAAAAGCACUUUGAAAAGAGGGUUAAAUAGCACGUGAAAUUGUUGAAAGGGAAGCGUUUACGGCCAGACCUUUUCCUGGCGGAUCAUCUGGUGUUCUCACCAGUGCACUUCGCCAGGUUUAGGCCAGCAUCGGCUUCUGUAGGGGGAUAAAAGCAGUGGGAAAGUAGCUCCCUCGGGAGUGUUAUAGCCCUAAGCAUAAUACC
rnacentral:rRNA from 1 species